UACGGAGGGUGCAAGCGUUAUCCGGAUUCACUGGGUUUAAAGGGCGUGUAGGCGGUUUGUUAAGUCAUGUGUGAAAUCCCUCGGCUCAACCGGGGGAACGACGCUUGAAACUGGCAGCUAGAGGUACCAAAGAAGGGCGGGUGGAAGUUCCCGGGUGUUCAAGCGGUGAAAUGCGGUAGAAUGAUCGGGACGGAACACCUGUGG
rnacentral:rRNA from 1 species